CUCUGUAGUUUUCCAUUCUCAAAUAACACUACAUUUGAAAAGAAGACUCUGGUUUCAGACCUGAUUCUUGAUAGCCAGCCUGUGUAUUUCCACUGAAUGUGCAGGAGCCAGUUGUUGGUGUUGUGAAAGGAAGGAGAGAAAAUGUUGUAGUCUCCAGCCAUCAUCACCCCCCUGACUGCUGCAGUCACCUGGAGGUUGUUUGGUUCUGAC
rnacentral:lncRNA from 1 species